ACAACAACAAUAACAAGCAUGACCAACGACAAUAAAAAUAAGACGAAACGACUCCAGCACAAUAAGAACAAGACGGCAGGAGACGCAGCUAACUGAUUCUUUUGGAGAGGAUUUCCUCAUGGGGCCUUGCCCCGUAACCAGAUAGAGAACAAUAAAACUGUCGAUAGACAGCACCGGUUCUGGUUGGGUCAGAGACCCGAGGUAGCGUCAGCAUCCAAAGUAAUCCGUUUGCUCUUGCUCCCGAUACGGGAGGUUUUCCGGACGGCAUGGAUUCCGGAACGGGCGAUCGAACAAGAACAACAAGCCCGCAUAACAAGAAAAACGCAUAGCAACAUUUGUGGGGGAGCUUCGGCUCCCCCAGUAGCUUGUGCCCCGGCCUGCCCUCCCUCCCCC
rnacentral:sRNA from 1 species